rnacentral:rRNA from 1 species
GAGGACCGGGAUGGACUGACCGCUGGUGCACCAGUUGUCCUGCCAAGGGCAUAGCUGGGUAGCUACGUCGGGACGAGAUAAACGCUGAAGGCAUCUAAGCGUGAAACUCCCCCUAAGAUAAGAUCUCUCAUCCUUUAUGGAGUAAGGCUCGUCGUAGACUAUGACGUUGAUAGGUCAGAGGUGGAAGCGCCGUAAGGUGUGUAGCUGACUGAUACUAAUAAGCCGAGGGCUUGACCUA